AGCAUACCUUUCUCGGCCUUUUGGCUAAGAUCAAGUGUAGUAUCUGUUCUUAUCAGUUUAAUAUCUGAUAUGUGGACCAUCGGUUCACACGAUAUUA